CACCAUAACCUCACCUGAAUGAACAUUUUGGAUGAAUCCAAUGGUCUUAUUAUAUCUGGGACAUGUCUGUUGUGUUCCAUGCAGGAUGUUGACAGGAGCUCAAAGGGCUUCCCUGUGUGCCUGGCACUAGCAGCUGUCAAACAGGCCACACGAAACAGAAUGUUACCAGGCAGUGAAGGCUCACUGAUUGAGAAGAUGAAGGUGGAGCCCAGUACAAACGUUAGAUGGGGAGAACUUGUUGGAAUCUGUGAGAAAAUGACUGAGGGUCGUCUAGCAGAGCUGAGCCCCAGUCUGUCUCAGAUUGUGCUCCACACAGCUCUAGUGGUCCACCAGUCUCCAGCUCCUGAGGUCGAGCUCCUGAGGACCCUGUGCUUCAGUCCUGGAAAUGCCAAGGACUUAUUUUUUCCGACAAUGCCAAGUUCAGCAUAUGACAUGAAGAAUUGGGUUGGGACCUCAGGGGAAAAGGUUUGGCAGUGCCAGUGUGGUGAGGCUGUUUUAAUUGGGGAGGUAAGUUUCCAACAAAAUCACAUCAGUUCUCACUCCCUUUUACAUGCAUGUUUUAUACCAUAAUGUUAAUCUCUGGUCAUCAUUGUUUAUAGUGUGGAAAACCCUGGGUAACAGCAAAAUGCAU